rnacentral:rRNA from 1 species
GCAAGUCGAACGAGAACGGGCUUUAGUUUACUAAAGUUGUCAGCUAAGUGGCGCACGGGUGAGUAAUAUAUAGUUAACCUGCCUCAAAGAAGGGAAUAAUUGUUGGAAACGACUUGUAAUGCCCUAUAUGCCUUUAAUACAUAAGUAUGCAAGGGAAAUAUUUAUAGCUUUGAGAUGGGACUGUACGGUAUCAGAUAGUUGGUGAGGUAAUGGCUCACCAAGUCUAUGACGCCUAACUGGUUUGAGAGGAUGAUC